CCUACGGGAGGCAGCAGUGGGGAAUAUUGCGCAAUGGGCGAAAGCCUGACGCAGCGACGCCGCGUGUGGGAUGACGGCCUUCGGGUUGUAAACCACUGUCGCGAGGGACGAAGCUCUGACGGUACCUCGAAAGGAAGCACCGGCUAACUCUGUGCCAGCAGCCGCGGUAAUACAGAGGGUGCGAGCGUUGUCCGGAAUCACUGGGCGUAAAGGGCGCGUAGGUGGCCUGAUAAGUAGGGGGUGAAAUCUCGCGGCUCAACUGCGAGGCUGCCUCCUAAACUGUCGGGCUCGAGCAGAGUAGAGGCAGGUGGAAUUCCCGGUGUAGCGGUGGAAUGCGUAGAGAUCGGGAAGAACAUCGGUGGCGAAGGCGGCCUGCUGGGCUCUUGCUGACACUGAGGCGCGACAGCGUGGGGAGCAAACAGGAUUAGAUACCCUGGUAGUCCACGCCGUAAACGAUGGGUACUAGGCGCCGGGGGGAGCGACCCCUUCGGUGCCGUCGCUAACGCAAUAAGUACCCCGCCUGGGGAGUACGGCCGCAAGGCUGAAACUCAAAGGAAUUGACGG
rnacentral:rRNA from 1 species